CCCUUAGAUGUUCUGGGCCGCACGCGUGCUACACUGAGUGGAUCAGCGGGUCAGGUUGCGCGAAAGUGUUUCCUAAUCUUUAAAUCCGCUCGUGAUGGGGAUUGACGGUUGCAAUUUUCCGUCAUGAACGAGGAAUACCUUGUAAGCGCGGGUCAUCAUCCCGCGCUGAAUACGUCCCUGCCCUUUGUACACACCGCCCGUCGCUCCUACCGAUUGAGUGGUCCGGUGAGGCUUUGGGAUCUGGGCGGAAAGAGCGUUUCGCUGUUUCUGCCCGGAAAACUCAGUCGAACCUUAUCAUUUGGAGGAAGGAGAAGUCGUAACA
rnacentral:rRNA from 1 species